rnacentral:rRNA from 1 species
UACGAAGGGACCUAGCGUAGUUCGGAAUUACUGGGCUUAAAGAGUUCGUAGGUGGUUGAAAAAGUUAGUGGUGAAAUCCCAGAGCUUAACUCUGGAACUGCCAUUAAAACUUUUCAGCUAGAGUAUGAUAGAGGAAAGCAGAAUUUCUAGUGUAGAGGUGAAAUUCGUAGAUAUUAGAAAGAAUACCAAUUGCGAAGGCAGCUUUCUGGAUCAUUACUGACACUGAGGAACGAAAGCAUGGGUAGCGAAGAGGAUUAGAUACCCUCGUAGUCCAUGCCGUAAACGAUGUGUGUUAGACGUUGGAAAUUUAUUUUCAGUGUCGCAGCGAAAGCGAUAAACACACCGCCUGGGGAGUACGACCGCAAGGUUAAAACUCAAAUGAAUUGACGGGGACCCGCACAAGUAGUGGAGCAUGUGGUUUAAUUCGAAGAUACGCGCAGAACCUUACCAACACUUGACAUGUUCGUCGCGACUCUAAGAGAUUAGAGUUUUCGGUUCGGCCGGACGAAACACAGGUGCUGCAUGGCUGUCGUCAGCUCGUGUCGUGAGAUGUUGGGUUAAGUCCCGCAACGAGCGCAACCCUCACUUUUAGUUGCCAUCAUUAAGUUGGGCACUCUGAAAGAACUGCCAGUGAUAAGCUGGAGGAAGGUGGGGAUGACGUCAAGUCCUCAUGGCCCUUACGCGUUGGGCUACACACGUGCUACAAUGGUAUCUACAACAGGAAGCAAGACUGCGAGGUCAAGCAAAUCCUUAAAAGAUACCUCAGUUCGGAUUGCACUCUGCAACUCGAGUGCAUGAAGCUGGAAUUACUAGUAAUCGUGGAUCAGCGUGCCACGGUGAAUGCGUUCCCGGGUCU